rnacentral:rRNA from 2 species
GUCGAGCGGACAGAUGGGAGCUUGCUCCCUGAAGUCAGCGGCGGACGGGUGAGUAACACGUGGGCAACCUGCCUGUAAGACUGGGAUAACUCCGGGAAACCGGGGCUAAUACCGGAUAAUUCUUUCCCUCACAUGAGGAAAGCUGAAAGAUGGUUUCGGCUAUCACUUACAGAUGGGCCCGCGGCGCAUUAGCUAGUUGGUGAGGUAACGGCUCACCAAGGCAACGAUGCGUAGCCGACCUGAGAGGGUGAUCGGCCACACUGGGACUGAGACACGGCCCAGACUCCUACGGGAGGCAGCAGUAGGGAAUCUUCCGCAAUGGACGAAAGUCUGACGGAGCAACGCCGCGUGAGUGAUGAAGGUUUUCGGAUCGUAAAACUCUGUUGUUAGGGAAGAACAAGUACCGGAGUAACUGCCGGUACCUUGACGGUACCUAACCAGAAAGCCACGGCUAACUACGUGCCAGCAGCCGCGGUAAUACGUAGGUGGCAAGCGUUGUCCGGAAUUAUUGGGCGUAAAGCGCGCGCAGGCGGUUCCUUAAGUCUGAUGUGAAAGCCCCCGGCUCAACCGGGGAGGGUCAUUGGAAACUGGGGAACUUGAGUGCAGAAGAGAAGAGUGGAAUUCCACGUGUAGCGGUGAAAUGCGUAGAGAUGUGGAGGAACACCAGUGGCGAAGGCGACUCUUUGGUCUGUAACUGACGCUGAGGCGCGAAAGCGUGGGGAGCAAACAGGAUUAGAUACCCUGGUAGUCCACGCCGUAAACGAUGAGUGCUAAGUGUUAGAGGGUUUCCGCCCUUUAGUGCUGCAGCAAACGCAUUAAGCACUCCGCCUGGGGAGUACGGCCGCAAGG